GGAGGGAAAUCAAGCUCUUUUGGGCAACGAAUGGGCAACGCUCCUCAUUCACCCUCAUUUUAAGGUAUUCGUAACGGUCUUGAAAACCGACGUAGUGAAAGCUACCGUGGGUUCGAAUCCCACCCCCUCUGCCA
rnacentral:tRNA from 1 species